rnacentral:rRNA from 1 species
AAUCUGGUUGAUCCUGCCAGUAGUCAUAUGCUUGUCUCAAAGACUAAGCCAUGCACGUCUAAGUACAAACUAAAUGAUGGUGAAAUUGCAAAUGGCUCAUUACAACGGUUAUGAUGUACCCGGGAGUUCCGAUGGAUAUUUCCAGUAACACUAGAACUAAUACAUGUCCCUGCGUUUAUUAGUUUCGCACAGUCCGUCGCUGAGUCAUGGUAAACAGUUGAUCGACUCGACGUCCCGGAACAGUUUCCGCCCCAUCAGCUUCGAUGGUUGGGUAUUGGCCUACCAUUGCAACAACGGGUAACGAGGAAUUAGGGUUUGAUUUCGGAGAGGGAGCCUGAGAAACGGCUACCACAUCUACGGAUGGCAGCAGGCGCGCAAAUUACCCAAUGCAGACACUGUGAGGUAGUGACGAGAAAUAAUAAAGCGGGACUUCUGUUUCGCUAUUAUAAUGAGGAAUAACCAAAGGUCAUUCCGAUUAGCAACUGAUGGGAAAGUCUGGUGCCAGCAGCCGCGGUAAUACCAGCGUCAGUAGCAUAUAUUAAAAUUGUUGCAGUUAAAACGUCCGUAGUCUGUACGUCGUCCCAAACUCACUGCAGUCUUCCGUUUUCUUAAUUGAAUGCGGUAGUUUCUGCAGUCACUCCCUUGAUCAAAUUAGGUUGUUCAAGGUAGACCCAAGUCUUCAUAUUUUCACAUGGAAUUGGGUGAGGGAACUUAAGAGUUUAAGUUUCUCGUCUUAGGAUCAUCCGGGGUCAUUCGUACUCGUCCGCGAGAGGUGAAAUUCUUGGACCGGACGAAGACGACCAGCAGCGAAAGCAUCUGUCAGGGAUGUUUUCUGCGACAAAGGACGAAGGUCAGGGUAUCGAAGACGAUUAGAUACCGUCGUAGUCCUGACUGUAAACUAUGCCAACUUGGGUCUUGCUGGGCGAUGCUUUGUGAGACCCACACAGAAAUGAAAGUGUAUGGGUUCUGGGGGCAGUAUGGACACAAGUCUGAAACUUGAAGGAAUUGACGGAAGAGCACCAUAAGACGUGGAGCUUGCGGCUUAAUUUGACUCAACGCGGGAAAACUUACCAGGUCAAGACAUGGGCGUGAUUGACAGGCUAAUGACUUUUCUCGAUUCCAUGGAUGGUGGUGCAUGGUCGCACUUAGUUGGUGCAGUGAUUUGUCAGGUUUAUUCCGGUAACGAACGAGACCUCAGCCUA